UACGGAGGAUGCGAGCGUUAUCCGGAUUUAUUGGGUUUAAAGGGUGCGUAGGCGGACGCUUAAGUCAGUGGUAAAAUUGCGGGGCUCAACCUCGUCGAGCCGUUGAAACUGGGUGUCUUGAGUGGGCGAGAAGUACGCGGAAUGCGUGGUGUAGCGGUGAAAUGCAUAGAUAUCACGCAGAACUCCGAUUGCGAAGGCAGCGUACCGGCGCCCAACUGACGCUGAAGCACGAAGGCGUGGGUAUCGAACAGG
rnacentral:rRNA from 1 species